AGCUCGAUAGCGCAACGGUAGCGCGUCUCUGCCCACAUAUCUUACCGCAGGUAAAGCAAUUGUUGACAGGAAGAUCUCGGUUCGACUCCGAGUCUGGCUA